CUCUCAAAGUGCUUGAUAGGAAGCUCCUGAGUUGGGAAAAUCUUGUGCAAUACACUGACGCAUGUCUGGUAUUCAAGAUCCUAAAUGGCCUGGCUCCCUCUCCACUUAGUACUUUGGUUUAAACAGAAAACCCAAACCAUGACAGCAGAUUCACAAGGUCUGCCAUGAGAGGUAACUGUAUAGUUCCCUUAAGGAAAAGCACCUUUAGUCAAUCUGCUUUCUCUGCUUCCCAUGUUUGGAACACACUGCCAUCAGACACACACAACUGCACUAUCUAUCACACCUUUACAAAACACAUAAAGACAUGGCUAAAGGCCAAUCAGACUUGUGAACAUAAUCCCUAGCUGUGUAUGCCCCAGUACAUCACUGGGGCCAAGCUUCCUGACAACCAGGACCAAUAUACUAGGCAGUGUCAGAGGAAGGCCCAAAUAAUUGUAAAGGACUCCAGUCACCCAAGUCAUAGACUGUUCUCUCUGCUUCCGCACGACAAGCGGUACCGGAGAGCCAAGUCAGGACCAAAAGGCUCCUUAACAGAGCCAAGUCAGGACCAAAAGGCUCCUUAACAGAGCCAAGUCAGGACCAAAAGGCUCCUUAACAGAGCCAAGUCAGGACCAAAAGGCUCCUUAACAGAGCCAAGUCAGGACCAAAAAGGCUCCUUAACAGAGCCAAGUCAGGACCAAAAAGGCUCCUUAACAGAGCCAAGUCAGGUCCAAAAGGCUCCUUAACAGAGCCAAGUCAGGUCCAAAAGGCUCCUUAACAGAGCCAAGUCAGGUCCAAAAUGCUCCUUAACAGAGCCAAGUCAGGACCAAAAGGCUCCCUAACAGAGCCAAGUCAGGUCCAAAAGGCUCCUUAACAGAGCCAAGUCAGGUCCAAAAUGCUCCUUAACAGCUUCUAACCCCCAGCCUGCUGAACAACUUAUCAAAUGGCCACCCAGACCAUUUACAUUGACACUGCUGCUACUCACUGUUUAUUUAUUCAUAGUCACUUUACAAAUGAUCUCGACUACCCUGUACCCCCGCACAUUGACUUGGUAACGGUACCCCCUGUAUAUACCCUCAUUAUUGUUAUGUACAUUUUCUUUUUUUUUGUUCAUUGAUUCAAUUUUUAUUUUACUUUAUUUUAUUUAGUAAAUAUUUUCAUAAUUCUAUUUCUUGAACUGCAUUGUUGGUUAGGGGCUUGUAAGUAAGCAUUUUGCGGUAAGGUCUACAACUACAACUUGUAGUCUUGUAGUCUACAACUACAACUUGUAUGUGAUUUGAUUUGUGUUGCCGCUUUCCAUGUCUGUAGCUUGUGAGGUGUGGAAACACUUGCUUUUAUAUAUUUUGAUUUGUUACUUUUUGUGUUAUGUUGCUCUGCCUGCGUGCUACAUUCUGCUUGCUCUAUGUUGCUCUGCAUGUGCUCACUGUUUGACUGUUUUGUUAUUGUAAUUGUUUUUAAUUACCUGCCCAGGGCCUGCGGUUGAAAAUGAGCCGGCUUGUUAAAAUGGCACUUUCACUGAAACGUUGAUUCAUGUGCACUGUCCCUGUAAAAAUCAACUCAAACUCAAGGUGACUAAGCUGUGAAGUUUGGCCUACCUGGCAGAUGAUCAUCUCCAUCGUAAGCUCGCCAGUCUUCUCUCUCUCUCUUCCUCUCAGGGGGAAACUAGUUAAACCAGAGUCUAUAAACUGUAGCGGUGGAGUUUGAGACGGGCCUCGUUUCUAGACUAAAAAAAGCAUGUGGUACGUUUUCACCAUGAUAAAGAAAUAUCAGAGAGA
ensembl:lncRNA